rnacentral:lncRNA from 1 species
GAAGAAGUCAUCCAAACCUCCUUGACUUAAGCAACAAGCAAGAGCAUGAUCCAAAUUUAGUUAAUUCCAUUCAAAAUAUAAAAACAGCAUCCUUGGAUUCUUCCAAUAGUUUUCGUGCGUACAGGAAACAAGUUUGAUGGAGAUGACUGAUACUCUCUAGGGUUUAACUGUUUAAACUUGGAGAAAGGGUAAGAUUUUCUUUGAUCGAUCAUUGCAUCGUUGAUAUGAUUUUUCACUCUUUUAAGAUCCCUAUUUACCACAAACUUGGAUAAAUAGGUUCUAAUGGCAGCCAUUAGAUAAAAUGAGUCCGCGUAAUUGUUAUAUGACGUUGUUCCAAU